rnacentral:tRNA from 1 species
UCCCUGGUAGCUCAGCUGGUAAAGAAUUUGCCUGCAAUGCAGGAGAUCCUGGUUUGAUUCCUGGAUUGGGAA